UGUUAUUGUUGUUGUUGUUAUGUGAACACAAUAGUGUAAAACAUUGUCAUAAACAACUGAUAUAUUAUAGUAAUUUUCAUACAAGUAGACAUUAAAGGAAUUUGGGGUUGAAUAGCAAUGUAACCCUACGACACUUAUCUGAUUUGGGCCUCUCCUACUAAGGAUGAGAAGAAGUGACUCGUCGUUUUGUGCCACUUUCACAUGGCUGGAGCUGCGAAUAGACUUUCUAAUUGGAAAAUGAUCCUUCAUUCACAUUGGCAAAGUACACAGGUCAUAGGGACUGGUUCUCUGCCGAGAGAAUUUUUCAAGUUCUGAACUACUGGGCCAACGAUGGAGACUCAGGAAAAGAGUGAAGUAACAAGAAGAUUAUAACAAGAAGAUUAUUGUUUACUUGAAUUUAUGUAAUAUUUUUGGGGAUGUGAGAGCGCACUCGUGAUUCAUUACAUUAAUAGUAUCAGAGUUUGGUUUAACUAAUUUCAA